GACGGGGGGGGCAAGCGUUGUUCGGAAUUACUGGGCGUAAAAGGGCUCGUAGGUGGCCAACUAAGUCAGACGUGAAAUCCCUCGGCUUAACCGGGGAACUGCGUCUGAUACUGGAUGGCUUGAGGUUGGGAGAGGGAUGCGGAAUUCCAGGUGUAGCGGUGAAAUGCGUAGAUAUCUGGAGGAACACCGGUGGCGAAGGCGGCAUCCUGGACCAAUUCUGACGCUGAGGAGCGAAAGCCAGGGGAGCAAACGGG
rnacentral:rRNA from 1 species